rnacentral:rRNA from 1 species
CAAUAGCGUAUAUUAAAGUUGUUGCGGUUAAAAAGCUCGUAGUUGGAUUUCUGCUGAGGACGAUCGGUCCGCCCUCUGGGUGAGUAUCUGGCUCGGCCUUGGCAUCUUCUUGGAGAACGUUACUGCACUUGACUGUGUGGUGCGGUAUCCAGGACUUUUACUUUGAGGAAAUUAGAGUGUUUCAAGCAGGCGCACGCCUUGAAUACAUUAGCAUGGAAUAAUAAGAUAGGACCUUGGUUCUAUUUUGUUGGUUUCUAGAGCUGAGGUAAUGAUUAAUAGGGAUAGUUGGGGGCAUUCGUAUUUAACUGUCAGAGGUGAAAUUCUUGGAUUUGUUAAAGACGGACUGCUGCGAAAGCAUUUGCCAAGGAUGUUUUCAUUGA